GCUGGUAUCUCUGCCUUCCUAUCAGCGCGAUUCCAUUGGGUGAGCAGAGUGCUUCCAGCAAGAUGUGUUAAAUCACAAUACAGAGUUACUAUUAUAACUACAGUUGAUAAUCUGCUGUGCCUGCAAGAACUUUGCCAAGCUGGGAGCACAAAGCAGAACUCUUCACACCAAGACCUGAACUGUCCCCAGAGGACCACACAGAGCUAUGCCCUUGGCUCCUGGAGAACCACAGCAGCUCCAAGGUGUUCACAACACUGUCUUUUGCCUGCUGUAUGGACCAGAAGCCAAAGGAAGACUUCAGGAGCCCAAAGAAAAAGAACUUCAUUAGUUCUGAAGACUGCUCAGUAGGCAACAUGUUGAAUACAAGGUGUGCUUUUUCAAGGUUUACAUUUUUAAGGUAAAUCUAGGCAGCCAAAUGGCCAAAAUAAGUCAGGCUGGGCACCUAAUUCCUUCAGCAUCUUGCAAAACCCACCCUAGGGUCAUUGACUGAACCAGCAAAGGAAUGCCAGAAUGCAGUACUAG
rnacentral:lncRNA from 1 species